GAUAAUGUAAGAAUAAUAGCACAGUAGUACUAGUGCAUCAACAUGCAUCAACCAUGCGACGCCGCGAGACUAUCAAUGUGUACCUACAAACUUAUAACGAACAUCAAAAAUAGGAAAAACGAGAGAUCGCCGAUUUUUGAAGGAAGAAUUGAGAUGAAGACCGGAAAUGAAAGGACCUAGAGCUACUGGCAGACUUCUACUACUUGUUUAAUAUAUGUCGCGUAUUAAUAUAUUUUUCCUUUU